GACGACAAAAGGGUCGUUAAUCUGUGUCAACAAAACAUGGAAAAGAGAACGUCAAAACCACCAGGUGCACAAUUUACAAAAAAAGAGGAAAGAAGAAGAGGAGAAACGGGUCGAAGAUAAAGCUGAUUCCUGCGCUCUGCGGUGUUUAUACUCCAUCGCAAAUACUUCAGAGAUGUUAUUUUUUGCACUCCCUCUGUGCUGAGCGAUCCCGGACAAUAACAGGAUACAUGUGAAGGCCCCUGAUCUUCUUUAAAGGUUACCCUUUGACCCCACUGUCACCUCACCUUCCUCAAACUGGAUUAAAGCAGGACGACGCUUAUGCAUCAACACAGUCUUGGUUAACACCUCCUCCACCUGCAAGGACUAUUUUUUUUGUACACAGGUGAACAAACACUGAUGCAGAACACAUUAAAACCUUCCAGUAUGGAGAAGCAGACAUCCUGAGGCCAUGCUUGGCAGCUCUGGAGACAUCUUUACGUGUUACUGUUAUUCCCAUUUUCUCCUGGAGGGUUGGAGCGAAUAUCAAUUUCUCGAAGCUUUGGAAAAACAGCCGCAGGCAGCAGCACCUCCUCUUCGGCAAUCUGUGGAUGAUAAAGACAUUGAUAAGAGGAAAUAGACUCCAUUUAAAAUGGUGUGAUGAAUUUCAAUGAGGGCACCUUGUUGUGAGAUAAGUCAAGGAACUGAAGUUCUGGUAGAGGUGACAGCAACCCUCUGAGGACGUCACUCUCCUUCACGUAGAUCCAGUGCAAUCAAAGAUUAGACAAAUGAAAACAUUUCAAGAUUUAAAGGCCUACCUGUGACAUGGUGCUGAAAUUCUUCUGCUCAGCACGGUCUGGAUUAGAAGGAGUUAUGAUAGAUUAAUACAGCAAGGAACCGGAACUGGAAAACUUAAGCAAAAUUCUGCUUCACUAUGAGGCAACAGAAUAAUAUGACUUCUCCAAGCCAGUCAGUGAAGAGAGAAAGAGAAACCAUACAUUUGUCGCCAUUGUCCACUAUUACACAAACAUAAAAUGAUCAAAUCUCUGUUUUAUUUGUAAAAUAAUUCACGGGUUAUCAUCUCCUCCUCUUCGACAGUCUGUCAACAUCCGAACAGCUGUCCAUAACAGAACUGGAGGCGUUGAGAGGGGAGAUUGCAUUCAUCCAUUUACAAAAAGUGUAUUUGGACAAACAGCUUUCUCCACUGGAGCUGUGACUGAGUGAAACCUCACCCCAAUAGCCAUUACAAAUUAAAACACAGAUCAUAUAUUUUAAUUAAACACAACCAGUUAGGGCUCAGUUUAAAAAAAAAUAAAAGGUUAGGAGAAAAAAGUUGACAUGCUGAACGUUAGCUAUCACAUUAUUGUGUGUAGCUAUGUGUAGCUAUUUGAUUAGCAUAUUUUCAUCUGUUAGUUUUUUGCGUGUUUCGUAAACAAAAGGUGAAGAAUAUCACCCUGGCUCCCGUAUCCUCUCAUUUUUCUAUAUGCGGUCUUCCUAGGGAAAAGUUUAAGCACUCACCAUGUCUUUCUUCUUCGCUGGAAGUCUGCAAAGGUUUGAUGCAGCCCAUCAUCAGUUUCAAAUACGGUAUUUGUGUGAUGCGGUUCCCUUGGAGGUUUAAGUGCUUCAGUCUGUCAAUGGAGGGAAAAGCUAGAAACUGAUGCAGUUACCACUACACAUCACAAAUAAUAAUACGAUCAUUGCAUUUACUAAUGAGUCAUUUCUCCCAGCAAAACAACUAGCUAAAAACAACAAUCCGAAUAUUAAAGGGGCCCUAUCUUGCUUAUUUCAGGGACAAAUGAUAUUGUAUUGCAGUGGGGCACUACAGUAAGUUUAUUUUAAAGAAAUACUGCAUAAA